GGAACGGAAAAAAAUCAGGAAAAGGAAGAUGGCUGCAGGAAUCAGUCUGUCUUUGUUUGGCCAACACUGAUAACAAUCAUUGUGGUGUCCAUACUUCUCAACUUCAUUCUGUUCUACAUCUUAAAGAAACAUAGAUCAGACACAUCACAGAGCCAAAGAGCUUACCGAAGUCAUAAACUUGCUAAAAUACAAAUGUUUGUUUUAAAAGAUGUGGAGACCCAGGUUGUA